rnacentral:rRNA from 1 species
GACGAACGCUGGCGGCGUGCUUAACACAUGCAAGUCGAACGGAAAGGCCCUGCUUUUGUGGGGUGCUCGAGUGGCGAACGGGUGAGUAACACGUGAGUAACCUGCCCUUGACUUUGGGAUAACUUCAGGAAACUGGGGCUAAUACCGGAUAGGAGCUCCUGCUGCAUGGUGGGGGUUGGAAAGUUUCGGCGGUUGGGGAUGGACUCGCGGCUUAUCAGCUUGUUGGUGGGGUAGUGGCUUACCAAGGCUUUGACGGGUAGCCGGCCUGAGAGGGUGACCGGCCACAUUGGGACUGAGAUACGGCCCAGACUCCUACGGGAGGCAGCAGUGGGGAAUAUUGCACAAUGGGCGGAAGCCUGAUGCAGCAACGCCGCGUGCGGUAUGACGACCUUCGGGUUGUAAACCGCUUUCGCCUGUGACGAAGCGUGAGUGACGGUAAUGGGUAAAGAAGCACCGGCUAACUACGUG